GCUAAACGACGAGAAGAGCGGCAAUGUCUGAAGCACGCCUUCCUACCUCUCCUCCGCCCGGCCCCGCUUCCGGGACUCCAGUUCACCCGCAGCACCCUGACUGCAGGUGCCAAGUCACUACUGCAAAGAAACUUCCUUUUCUCGAGCGGGGGUGGGACUUGGCCGGGUCCCGAGGCCCCUGGCCGGCGGGCUCGGACGUUAGGAGCAGAACCAGCUCCAGGUCCCGGUCUGUCCGGGCGUCGCUGCCCUCUGAAGCUCAGGCCGGACACCCAGUCCCUGGCCGAACAAGGCGCCGCGGCCCACCCACCCCGGUACCCGCCGUCCGACCCCGUUGCCCUGCACCUGAGGAUGUUGUCAGCAUAGAUUGUCAGGACGUUCUACAUAGAUGUGGAUGAAAGACUACAGAAGG
rnacentral:sRNA from 1 species